UACGUAGGGUGCAAGCGUUAAUCGGAAUUACUGGGCGUAAAGCGUGCGCAGGCGGUUUUGUAAGUCAGAUGUGAAAUCCCCGGGCUUAACCUGGGAACUGCGUCCGAUACUGGCAGGCUUGAAUCCGGGAGAGGGAUGUGGAAUUCCAGGUGUAGCGGUGAAAUGCGUAGAUAUCUGGAGGAACACCGGUGGCGAAGGCGGCAUCCUGGACCGGCAUUGACGCUGAGGCGCGAAAGCCAGGGGAGCAAACGGG
rnacentral:rRNA from 1 species